AGCGAACGCUGGCGGCAGGCCUAACACAUGCAAGUCGAACGAACUCUUCGGAGUUAGUGGCGGACGGGUGAGUAACACGUGGGAACGUGCCUUUUGGUUCGGAAUAAUUCAGGUAAACUUUUCUUAAUACCGAUUGUGCCCUUCGGGGGAAAGAUUUAUCGCCAUUAGAUCGGCCCGCGUCUGAUUAGCUAGUUGGUGAGGUAACGGCUCACCAAGGCGACGAUCAGUAGCUGGUCUGAGAGGAUGACCAGCCACACUGGGACUGAGACACGGCCCAGGCUCCUACGGGAGGCAGCAGUGGGGAAUCUUGCGCAAGGGGCGAAAGCCUGACGCAGCCAUGCCGCGUGAAUGAUGAAGGUCUUAGGAUUGUAAAAUUCUUUCACCGGGGACGAUAAUGACGGUACCCGGAGAAGAAGCCCCGGCUAACUUCGUG
rnacentral:rRNA from 1 species